CCUACGGGUGGCAGCAGUGAGGAAUAUUGGUCAAUGGACGCAAGCCUGAACCAGCCAUGUCGCGUGCAGGAAUACGGCCCUAUGAGUUGUAAACCUCUUUUGUCCGGGAGCAAAAGCCGAUACGCGUAUCUGUCUGAAAGUACCGUACGAAUAAGGACAGGCUAACCCCGUCCCAGCAGCCGCGGUAAUCAGGAGGAUUCAAGUGUUUCCCGGUUUUUUUUGGUUGAAAGGGGGCGGAGGCGGUCUGUUAAGUUUGAGGGGAAAACCCGGGGCUCAAAUUCGGUAUUGCCUGUGAUACUGUUGAGCUAGAGGGUGGUAGCGGUAGGCGGAAUGUAUGGUGUAGCGGUGAAAUGCAUAGAGAUCAUGCAGAACACCGAUUGCGAAGGCAGCAUACCGGGGUACUUCUGACGUUGAGGCACGAAAGCGUGGGGAGCGAACAGGAUUAGAUACCCUAGUAGUC
rnacentral:rRNA from 1 species